rnacentral:lncRNA from 1 species
UCAUCUAACUCUGCUAAUUAUCAUCAACAAUAAAUCUUUCAAACAAGCUUGAAAUGAUUCGUUGUUGCAUGAUGAACAAGAAGAAGAAACGUCAACCGCCGGAGACGCCGCAGUGGAAAGUAGGAUAGUCAGUGCUCCUACACAUCAGCCAAGGAAAAUUGAAGUGGAAAAUGGUAAGUUUCUGGUUAUGAAUAUAAUUUUCCUGUUUAUGAGUGUAAAUUCAUUAGGAACUGAGAGCGUUUGGAAUUUUUGUUUACUGUUUUUUUCUGUUUGUUAAACUAGCAUUGGGGUUUUCUUGACAAAAUCUUCGUUGUUUCUCUUGGCUAAUUGAUUAAUAUUUAAGGUGUCGUACAUUUGACGAUUGGUUCUCCGGAAGAUCGCUUGCGAGGUAGAAGGGACACCAUGAAGAAACCUGUUGUUCCAUUUCCAUGCACCGUGGGCGAUGGCUUCCGAGAAAAGGCGCCUAAGAAAUUGAGUGAGCUUCAGGGCAAGAGAGAUGGUGGAGAUUUCACUAUUAUGAGUGCGGCUUCUACUUCAGCAUUUGAUGGAGUUGGUGGCAUUACUGGCGGUGGUAGCGGUUGUGGUGGUGG